UGAAUGGCUUGACGAGAAAUCAACUGUCUCUUAAUAAUUUUUAAAAUUUAACUUUUAAGUCAAAAGGCUUAAAUUUUUCUUUAGGACGAGAAGACCCUAUAGAGCUUAACAUUUUAUUUUUAUAUAGUUUUUAGUUGAUCUUUCUAUAUUUAAUGAUAAUGUUUUGUUGGGGUGACAUGAAGAAUAAUUAAACUCUUCAUUAUAAAAUCAUUGAUUUAUGUUUAUCAUGAUCCAUAAUUUAUGAUCAUAAGAUUAAGUUACCUUAGGGAUAACAGCGUAAUUGUUUUCGAGAGCUCAUAUCGACAAAGCAGAUUGCGACCUC
rnacentral:rRNA from 1 species